GAGUUCAGAGAGAGAAGAAGAUGCUAUGAACAGCUGAGGGAAGCUGGACUCCAGAGCAAAAGACGGGGCUGAACCUCAUCUCCUUCCCACAGUACUCCCCAAACCCUUCUGCUCUGUGAAAUAGCUGCUUAUCCUGCCUGAAAUUCUGGUUAGAGAUGCAUACAUAUCACUGUAUACCCUCUUUUAAAAAGACGAAAAACUCCCAGGACGUUAUUAGAGGUAUCAGUUAGUCAGUCACACAUUAGUAUAAACUAAUUUGUCCAACUUUUUUUAAACAUCCAGCUGAGAUCAUUUGCUCUAAGGGAACGGGAGUUUCUGCUAAGGAUGAAAGGUAAUAAACGACUCUUUAUAUUUAUUCACGUAUUUUGUUCUACUUUAUAUUCCCGCUACUUCUGAAAAGGAUUUGAGACAGCAGAUAUUUUGAAUUUCGAGGAUUUUAUGGAAUAAGAUGGCCUGAUUCUACUUUCUCCCCUGCCUCCCACACACACACACGAAAGAGGGGGGGGGUCUGUAGUUGAAGGUAGAGAUGGAACACUGUCGGGGAGGUUGGAAACAUCCAGUUGAAGGGUCCCCAAUAACACAAAUUAAAUUGUUUCCUGCUGGGUUAAACUACAAAAUCCACGUGUGUUCGGUCAGAACGCAGCAAGCGAUGCUACACCCACUUUAAAGAAUCAGAGGGCCCCCGGGCCGACCAGUUUGGCUUUCACCUGAUUGAAGAAAUCACUGCAGUGAGAGCAAGGUGGUGCCUAGCACGGGGCCCGAAGGUCUAGGAAAGGGGCAGCGGAUGAUGCAAGCCCUGAGUCUCCACACGCGUGCUGGGGCCGGAGGGCAGAAGGGCGGGGCCCGAGGAGGCGUGCCCAGCCUGCGACAGUGGAAGCCCUGAUCCAGACGGGGGGAGGCUUGCCACAGCUCCCCUUCAGAUUCGGUUCCAAGAAGGGAUCGCACAGGGAGCAGCCUGCUCCCCCGGGAGCUCGAGAGCCAGCAAUGUUGAUUUGCAGAAACGGUAGAGCUGAUCGUACACGCAGAACUACCACGUUCUUGGCAGACAUCUCCUCCCUUCACGCAUCUUAGAGCAGAAGGCGCAGCUGCAACCUGAGAGAACAUGGUCCUAAAAGCAGAAUCCUCAUGAUGGGGAAGUCAAGGACUGAUUGCUUUAGGUGAGUAAGAUGCUUCAACAUCUUCCAAAGCAGAUGCAUCGUCAGAAAAUCUUCUGGGCCGAGAACACUCUGCAGGAUCCCCCGAUGGAACACGAGGCUUGUCAGACACCCACAGACUGAGAGCAAUAAAGUGUAAAUAAUUUAGAGCUCCUUGAUAUUA
rnacentral:lncRNA from 1 species